rnacentral:tRNA from 1 species
GGCCUCCUCGCGUAACAGCAGCGCCUCUGACUCCAGGUCAGAAGGUUGGGUGUUCAAGUCACACUGGGGUCA